GUGGGAGCAAGAAGAAAUAGAUGGCUUCAUUAUUACUGCUCAAGCUAAUGAGCUGGGACCAAGAAGUAAAACGAGAGGACUGUGGGAUGGAGGAUGAGACUAGAGAUUCUUCCAACAUGAUUAUUUAGAAAAUGCAGUGGCAAAUUGAGAGUGAGCUGGAUUUCAUUGCUGGAUAAUGAGCCCAGUGAUACAGGAAAGGGCUGGCUGGCUGGCUGGAAAAGUGAAAAGAGAGAUGUUUUUCUACUCCCCAUCAGACAAGAGCCAAGGAAUUUGAGAGGACCCAGAAGAGAGCUGUGGCCAGCUGUGAGGAGCUGCAGCCAUCAUCUGGGCCCCUGCAGACAACUUGAUGACAUACUGAGAUCCUUGCUGACCAGAGAAUGAAUCUUCCCUGGAUCUUGCACCAUGAGCAGCCAUGUCCUGGGCACAGGCACAGGCCGGGGGAUCCUGCUGCCCCACGUGAAGGUCAGUGCUAAGAGAUCAGCUCUGCUGUCCUCAGACAAAGGACUCAACCUGAUGGGGAAGUAGGGACAGUUUCCAUCCCACCACCACACUGCCCAGCAUGAAUUGUAGUCACUCAGUACAUAAACACUGUCUGUGUCACUUAGAAUGGACCUACAGAGCAACAGAGCCCACCUGACACAG
rnacentral:lncRNA from 1 species